rnacentral:rRNA from 1 species
UACGUAGGGGGGCAAGCGUUGUCCGGAUUUACUGGGCGUAAAGAGCGUGUAGGCGGCCAAACAGGUCCGUUGUGAAAACUGGAGGCUCAACCUCCAGACGUCGACGGAAACCGUAUGGCUAGAGUCCGGAAGAGGAGAGUGGAAUUCCUGGUGUAGCGGUGAAAUGCGCAGAUAUCAGGAAGAACACCCGUGGCGAAGGCGGCCCACUGGGCCGGUACUGACGCUGAGGCGCGAAGGCGUGGGGAGCGAACGGG